UGUUGUUCUCCCAGCAUGUUGUUCUCCCAGCAUGUUGUUCUCCCAGCAUGUUGUUCUCCCAGCAGGUUGUUCUCCCAGCAGGUUGUUCUCCCAGCAUGUUGUUCUCCCAGCAUGUUGUUCUCCCAGCAUGUUGUUAUCCCAGCAUGUUGUUCUCCAAGCAUGUUGUUCUCCCAGCAGGUUGUUCUCCCAGCAUGUUGUUCUCCCAGCAUGUUGUUCUCCCAGCAUGUUGUUAUCCCUGUUGUUCUCCCAGCAUGUAGUUCUCCCAGCAUGUAGUUCUCCCAGCAUGUUGUUCUCCCAGCAUGUUGUUCUCCCAGCAUGUUGUUCUCCCAGCAGGUUGUUCUCCCAGCAGGUUGUUCUCCCAGCAGGUUGUUCUCCCAGCAUGUUGUUCUCCCAGCAUGUUAUUCUCCCAGAAUGUUGUUCUCCUGGCAUGUUGUUC
rnacentral:lncRNA from 1 species